ensembl:lncRNA
AUGAGGCAGUGGUAGAGUGAGGCAGUGGUAGAGUGAGGCAGUGGUAGAAUGAGGUAGUGGUAGAGUGAGGUAAUGGUAGAGUGAGGUAGUGGUAGAGUGGUAUAGUGUGGUAGUGGUGAAUGAGGCAGUGGUAUAGUGUGGUAGUGGUAUAGUGUGGAAGUGGUAGAGUGAGGUAAUGGUAGAGUGAGGUAGUGGUAGAGUGGUAUAGUGUGGUAGUGGUAGAGUGUGGUAGUGGUAGAGUGAGGUAGUGGUAUAGUGAGGUAGUGGUGAAUGAGGCAGUGGUAUAGUGUGGUAGUGGUAUAGUGUGGAAGUGGUAGAGUGAGGUAGUGGUAGAGUGAGGUAGUGGUAGAGUGGUAUAGUGUGGUAGUGGUAGAGUGAGGUAGUGGUAGAGUGAGGCAGUGGUAGAGUGAGGCAGUGGUAUAGUGAGAUAGUGGUAGAGUGAGGUAGUGGUAGAGUGAGGUAGUGGUAGAGUGAGGUAG